rnacentral:rRNA from 1 species
GACGAACGCCGGCGGCGUGCCUAAUACAUGCAAGUAGAACGCUGAAGGAGGAGCUUGCUUCUCUGGAUGAGUUGCGAACGGGUGAGUAACGCGUAGGUAACCUGCCUGGUAGCGGGGGAUAACUAUUGGAAACGAUAGCUAAUACCGCAUAAUAGUAGAUGUUGCAUGACAUUUGCUUAAAAGGUGCAAUUGCAUCACUACCAGAUGGACCUGCGUUGUAUUAGCUAGUUGGUGAGGUAACGGCUCACCAAGGCGACGAUACAUAGCCGACCUGAGAGGGUGAUCGGCCACACUGGGACUGAGACACGGCCCAGACUCCUACGGGAGGCAGCAGUAGGGAAUCUUCGGCAAUGGACGGAAGUCUGACCGAGCAACGCCGCGUGAGUGAAGAAGGUUUUCGGAUCGUAAAGCUCUGUUGUAAGAGAAGAACGAGUGUGAGAGUGGAAAGUUCACACUGUGACGGUAUCUUACCAGAAAGGGACGGCUAACUACGUGCCAGCAGCCGCGGUAAUACGUAGGUCCCGAGCGUUGUCCGGAUUUAUUGGGCGUAAAGCGAGCGCAGGCGGUUAGAUAAGUCUGAAGUUAAAGGCUGUGGCUUAACCAUAGUACGCUUUGGAAACUGUUUAACUUGAGUGCAAGAGGGGAGAGUGGAAUUCCAUGUGUAGCGGUGAAAUGCGUAGAUAUAUGGAGGAAUACCGGUGGCGAAAGCGGCUCUCUGGCUUGUAACUGACGCUGAGGCUCGAAAGCGUGGGGAGCAAACAGG